rnacentral:piRNA from 1 species
UGACUGGUGAAAAGACUGAGAGAUGAUC